rnacentral:lncRNA from 1 species
UUCUCUUACUCACAUUUAUAUAUUUUUUUAUUUCAUAUUGUUUCAAGUUUUUUAUAUUUUUAAUUAAUAUUUUUAACACAUUAGCUCUUUUGGUUAGAUGGUUAGAUAAUUAGAUAAUUGUGAUUUCAUCCUUAAGUUUAUUUCCUCUUACAAGCACUUUAAUAUGUAUUUUUUAUUUCAUGUUGUUUAAAGCUUUUGUUUUAUUUUU